GAAAUGCGAUAAGUAAUGUGAAUUGCAGAAUUCCGUGAAUCAUCGUAUCUUUGAACGCACAUUGCGCCCUCUGGUAUUCCGGGGGGCAUGCCUGUCCGAGCGUCAUUGCGAACCCCUCAAGCACGGCUUGUGUGAUGGGCCCUCCCGCGUCUUGGUCGUCAAGACGGGCCCGAAAUGCAGUGGCGGCUUCGCGGUUAUCCGAUCAGCCAGAGCGUAUGGGGACUUUCUCUCUGUCACACGCCCGCGGCGCGGACCGACGCCUGUCGACCUUCAUUCAUCGUUUUCUCGGUUGACCUCGGAUCAGGUAGGGAUACCCGCUGAACUUAAGC
rnacentral:misc_RNA from 1 species